AUUGAACGCUGGCGGCAGGCCUAACACAUGCAAGUCGAGCGGCAGCGGAAAGUAGCUUGCUACUUUGCCGGCGAGCGGCGGACGGGUGAGUAAUGUCUGGGAAACUGCCUGAUGGAGGGGGAUAACUACUGGAAACGGUAGCUAAUACCGCAUAACGUCGCAAGACCAAAGAGGGGGACCUUCGGGCCUCUUACCAUCAGAUGUGCCCAGAUGGGAUUAGCUAGUAGGUGGGGUAACGGCUCACCUAGGCGACGAUCCCUAGAUGGUCUGAGAGGAUGGCCAGCCACACUGGAACUGAGACACGGUCCAGACUCCUACGGGAGGCAGCAGUGGGGAAUAUUGCACGAUGGGCGCAAGCCUGAUGCAGCCAUGCCGCGUGUAUGAAGAAGGCCUUCGGGUUGUAAAGUACUUUCAGCGGGGAGGAAGGCGUUGUGGUUAAUAACCACAGCGAUUGACGUUACCCGCAGAAGAAGCACCGGCUAACUCCGUGCCAGCCGCCGCAGUAA
rnacentral:rRNA from 1 species